UCCUCGGUAGCUCAGUCGGUAGAGCAAGUGGCUGUUAACCACUCGGUCGGCGGUUCGAGUCCGUCCCGAGGAGCCA
rnacentral:tRNA from 1 species